rnacentral:tRNA from 2 species
GGCCUGGUAGCUCAGCUGGUUAGAGUGCUGGCCUGUCACGCCAGAGGUCGAGGGUUUGAUCCCCUUCCAGGUCGCCA